UUUUUUUUUUUUUGUCUUUUUCUAGGGCCACAUCUGCGGCAUAUGGAGGUUCCCAGGCUAGGUAUCUAAUCAGAGCUGUAGCUGCUGGCCUACGCCAGAGCCACAGCAACGCCAGAGCUGAGCCACGUCUGUGACCCUCACCACAGCUCAUGGCAAUGCCGGAUCCUUAACCCACUGACGGAAGCCAGGGAUCCAACCCGCAACCUCAUGGUUCCUAGUCGGAUUCGUUAACCACUGAGCCAUGACAGGAACUCUGAUUUACUUUUUUUCUCACUUUGCAAAAAAUAAAAAAACUACAAAAGUUUUGUAGUCACAACUUUGUUAUUUUUUUAAUUUCUGAAAUAAUUAGAUGUAGCCAAAUUAUGUGGUUAUCCUUUGCUAUGUUCAGAACUUGAAAACAUAUUUUGUGUGGUGAACUUACUCUUUGAAAUUGUAUAAUGGUCUCAGAUAUGACUGGAGUUUUUGGUAACUUUUUAAAUAGUUUUUUUUAUUCCUUUUAGUCACAAAGGCAACUACAGUUUGUAUUUUUUUUAAUGUUAAUGUUUCCACAAAGUGUUCAAAGUUAACCAGUCUUUUCUCACAUAGAAAACUUAAAACUGGUUAACUCUGUACUUUAAUAAAAUUGAAGUUGAGGGGGAGGAAGUGGGAGGGAUCGGGAGCUUGGGCUUAUCAGACACAACUUAGAUUUACAAGGAGAUCCUGCUGAAUAGCAUUGAGAACUUUGUCUAGAUACUCAUGUUGCAACAGAAGAAAGGGGUGGGGGAAAAAAUGUAAUUGUAAUGUAUACAUGUAAGGAUAACCUGACCCCCUUGCUGUACAGUGGGAAAAUUAAAAAAAAAUUAUUAAAAAAAUAAUAAAUAAAUAAAUAAAAAAUAAAAUUGAAGUUGAAAACAAAACAAAGACAAGAAACCAAUCCUACUAACCACAUAAAAAAAAAAAAAAGAAAAAAGAAACCAAUCCUGCUAACACUUGACUUGAGCUCACUGAGACUAGUUUUGAACCUCUGAACACCAAAAAUGUUUCAAGCUACUAAAUUUGUGUUAAUUUGUAACAGCUUCAAUCAAAGAAUGAGAUGACAUGCUUAUUAUAAGACCAGUAGUGAUUUUAGAAUAAGUAGAUUUAGAAAAGUCAUGAUUGCAAAAUCUGAGAGAUAAAUGAUUAAGACAGAGUGUAUAUGAAGGAAUGGAGAGUAGGAACCAGUCCAAGAUCAUUAGUGAUGCUAUCCCUUCUUAUAAGCACCCAAUUUCAUGCAAUGUACAAUUCCUGUGUCUUACUGUGUGCAAUCCGGUGAUGAUUUUUCCCUCAAGAAGUUGGAGAAGAGACUUGUGGCUGCCUGAUGGGAGGGGGAGGGAGUGGGAGGGAUUGGGAGCUUGGGCUUAUCAGACACAACCUAGAAUAGAUGUAUAAGGAGAUCCUGCUGAAUAGCAUUGAGAACUAUGUCUAGGUACUCAUGUUGCAACAGAACAAAGGGUGGGGGAAAAAAUGUAAUUGUAAUGUAUACAUGUAAGGAUAACCUGACCCCCUUGCUGUACAGUGGGGAAAAAAAAAAAAAAAAAAAAAAAAAAGU
rnacentral:lncRNA from 1 species